rnacentral:rRNA from 1 species
UUGGAGGGCAAGUCUGGUGCCAGCAGCCGCGGUAAUUCCAGCUCCAAUAGCGUAUAUUAAAGUUGUUGUGGUUAAAAAGCUCGUAGUUGAACCUUGGGCCUGGCUGGCCGGUCCGCCUCACCGCGUGCACUGGUCCGGCCGGGCCUUUCCCUCUGCGGAACCCCAUGCCCUUCACUGGGUGUGGCGGGGAAACAGGACUUUUACUUUGAAAAAUUAGAGUGCUCAAGGCAGGCCUAUGCUCGAAUACAUUAGCAUGGAAUAAUAGAAUAGGA